AAGACUGCCUGCGCUUAAGUGCGCGGCGGAUCUUCACUGACACACCGUGAAGACAGUAUAAUUUUUUUUUUACUUCUGAACAAUACACAGACAAACCUUUAUUUUUUUUUUUAUACAGCAGUCUAGCAAGAUUUCUUAAUUGAAAAGCAAACAAAUUAAAACUUUCAACAACGGAUCUCUUGGUUCUCGCGCCGAUGAAAAACGCAGCGAAAUGCGAUACGUAAUGUGAAUUGCAUAAUUCCGUGAAUCAUCGAAUCUUUGAACGCACAUUGCGCCCCAUAGUAUUCUGUGGGGCAUGCCUGUUUGAGCGUCAUUUCCUUCUCAACAAGCGAUUGUUGGUAGUGAGUGAUACUCUGUGAACAAUUUGAGUUAGCUUGAAAGUGCGAAUUUUUGAAAGCUGUGGCCUGCGAAUACGCGGGACGUUGCGAACGAGUUAGGUUUUGCCAAGUCGUUGAGUGAUGUACCGAAGGAUGAGCGAGCAGCGGCUGGUAGUAAAGACGACACAAGUUUGACCUCAAAUCAGGUAGGAAUACCCGCUGAACUUAAGCAUAUCAAUAAGCGGAGGA
rnacentral:rRNA from 1 species